GGGUUGCGGCUCCAUCCCCAGUGUGGGGAGAGCAGGAGGCGGCCGACCCAUGAUUCUCUCUCACUGAUGUUUCCCUCUCCCUCUCCCUUCCUCUCUGAAAUAAGUAAAAAUAUAUUUUAGAAAGAAAAGCCCACGCUAGACAGGAUUAACAAAGCCAAAAGCUGGUGCUCUGAAAAGGCGGGGGGGGGGGGGGCAGCCCCGAUGACCCCACCCCGCACUCACACCCCACUGUCUCGGCCACUCGGUGACCAGGGUGACCAGGAUACUGCAGAAGGGACGGGCGCCCCUCCAGGAGGGGCUACACGUAUGUUGAGACCCCCAUGUCGCUCCCUCUGGGCCACAAAGAAUGCGGAGGGGAGCCAGGGUUGCCCCCAGGACUGGAGCCCUGAUGCUGGCGGCGUCACCCCCCAGGGGACGGGCAGGGCCUACAGGACGGAGAACCGUCUCCACAGCAGCAGGUGGCCAACUGCCUCCUCCCGCAGGACACACCCGAACCCCUCGCCGACACGCUAGGCAUUUACGAGGGAAAAUGUCAUUACAUUGAGUUGGCAGGAAAUGGGGCCACGGCAGCCCGAGGUGGGGGGACCCCUCCUGAGCUGCCACAGCACACACCCCCGGCCCCUGUUCCCACCCUGCACACCCUGGGGACCCUCCCGACUCCACUGGAAGCAGAAAGCCCAUCCCCUCAUCACCCACUAUUUUAGCGCCCGCCCCUGCGGGAAGUGAGGCGCAGGACAGGAGGGCACAGAGGAAGGGAGGCGCGGCUUUGUCCGUGGCCUGUGUCUCGGCAGGAGAACUGCAAACCCUGGAAGCGAGAAGGUGGCCCAGACGUCGCUGGGGAAGGAAUGGGUCCGCUAGGGCGCCUUCCGCUUCGUGCACCAGAACGCCAGGCGAUGAUCGUCUCCCAAGGAGCCGUCUGUCCGGAGCCAGGAGGCUCCCCGAGGAUCACCCGUCCGGUCAGCGAGACCACCUUGGCACCGGUUCCCCUGGGGCUCUCUUUACUUCUCAAGGUCGCACUUUUGCUGCUCCAGAUCCUAACAUCACAAGGUCACCCUCGCAGGUCAGAGGCAAAGAGCAAUCACGGGUCCCUGCCAUCUGCCUUUUCUCAGUGAAAAACCCGGCACCCGGGAACCCACCUGCCUCCUCAGCAGGCACCCCCUCAGGCUCUAUUGGCUGGAACAGGGUCCAGUGCCCUCCCGCCCCGAGCCAGGCCCAGCCAAGAGGAAAGGGAGGACCGUGAUAAAUGGCCCGGCAGCGGGCGUUCCCUGGCACUGCCUCUGCCUGAGCCCACUGCACGCGGAGGCCAGGACAGCUGACACCGACCGGUACCUGCGCGAUUUAGCGUCACCCGUUUAGAGGGAAAUGGGUGCUGGGAAAGACCAACCAUGUUUUCAACAGCAGGUCCAGGACCCCAAGUCCAGGUAUAGAAUGGAUUGUCUCUGGGGACGAAGGCGUCAUCUUCGAAAGGGACACAGCAGCCCAGCGGCGAGCGAGACUGACAUUUUCCUGAAGGGUGGGGACAAGGGCGCUGGGCAGGAGGGCGGUGGGUGCUGUCCCCGGGCUCUCCCCUCCGAACGAUGGCUCUCCCCUGCCUGCAGUGCCGCCUCCUCUGUCCUGGCCCCAGGCCACCUGCAGCCUGCCAGCCCUGACCAUCUUUCUCCGAGGUCUAGGCCAUCAGAUGGGAGAAGCGCGGCAGCCUCAGGCCCGGGCCGCGAUCACCAUGGAAACCUCGGGGCAAGGACCCGCCCACGUGGCGGACGCCUGCACCGCCAGCACCGCCAGCUCUCGGGUUUCGCACUCCGUGGUUGCCCCCAGGACGUGGAGGCUCCGGGUCCGGGUAGAAGGGGCCUGGCGCCGCAGGGGGCAAGGCAGGCGCGGGUGGGAGGGUGGGCAAGGGGCCGGGAGAGCCCCCCACAAUGGGCUGGGGCGCAGGGUGACGUCAAAGGAGGCGCUGUGAAGCCAGGGGGUAUAAAUGCCCGCGGUGCCCGAGGGGAGGGUUGCGAGCUCCAGCUCCUCCUGCCCCGUCCCAGGCCUGGCUGGGCGCCCCGCCUGCGCGCCCCCAUUGCUCAUUUUGAGGCCUCAACAUUGAACGUGCACCUGGGAAGCUGCCGAAACCCCAAGAUUCUCGCCGCAGAAAAGGAUAAAAAAGCCCCGAGAGCGGACUCAGUGCGGGUCUCUCUACCAGAGCACACCCACCCCGUCCUGGGCAUGAACUCCUUAUUUCCGCUUUGGGAGCUGCUUCCCCCCCUUUUCUCUUCCAGUAGGAAACCUGGGGUUGCACGUGCGACUCCAGCAGCUGUUAACCUGGAAAUGGGGCUCAGUCGCUGACAUGCGGCCCCGGCCUGCAGACAGGUGGGGGGCGGGGGGUUGGGACCGGGGCCGCCGGGGGCACCGACUCCAAGGGCCGCUUCCUGGCGAGUCACUGACCGGAGGGGUCACGCCUGGAGGGGCCCCAGCCUCUAAGGCAGCGGUUCUCAACCUUCCUAACGCUGCGACCCUUUAACACAGUUCCUCACGUUGUGGUGACCCCCAACCAUAAAGUUAUUUUCGUUGCUACUUCCUAACUGUAACUUUGCUACUGUUAUGAAUCGUAAGGUAAAUAUCUGAUAUGCAGGAUGUAUUUUCAUUGUUACACAUUGAACAUAAUGAAAGCAUAGUGAUUAAUCACAAAAACAAUAUGUAAUUAUAUACGUGUUCUCCGAUGGUCUUAGGCGACCCCUGUGAAAGGGUCGUUCGACCCGUCCCGACCCACAGGUUGAGAACCGCUGCUCUAAGGGCUGUUCCGCGGUCGACCCCGCACCACGGCCCCCACUGCCGCGCCCCCCAUGGGCCCAGCCCCAGCGACCCCGUUCCCAUCGCUCUCCACCCCCAGGUGCUGCGGGCGGCCCCACGGUCGCGAGCAACCCGGGGCCAAGAGGCCAUCCCGCCCCGCCCCUAGUUCAAGGAGAGAACCGCCCAACUGGCCUCCCCGCUGAUUGGCUGAGCGAAAGGUAGGCCGGCGGUGAUUGGUCGGGCCUGACGCCUCUCGGCGCGCACGCCGCGGCCGCGCCUUCUUCCGCCGCCGGGCCGGUGGGCGGACACGAUUGGUGCGGCCGCGCUGCCCCGCCCCCCGGCCCCGCCCCGCCCCGCAACGUCAGUACCCGGCGUGCCGCGCGGCGCUUCCCCUCCGCCCGCUAAUGUUUUGGCCGACGCAAGAUGGCGGUGCAGGAGUCGGCCGCCCAGCUCUCCAUGACCCUGAAGGUGCAGGAGUACCCGACCCUCAAGGUUAAACAGUGAUGACUGAACAGGCCUGUAGCGUAGAGAUUCCCAGGAGGCUCUGCCCGAGGAGAAGCAGGACCGGGGCUCCGGUGGAUGCUGGCGGUGCCCAGGGGGUUGGUGUGGGUCCUGAGACAGGCAGGUGGUUCCCAGCCUGUCCCGUGAAGUCAGUCUCCCCGUCACCAGAGCAGACGGGCAGCUCAGGCCCCGGCGGCCGUUACCCCACGAGAGGAGAGACAGGUGCCAGUCGUCGUCAGCACCGUGCGAGGACAUCGGGUCCGGCCGGUUCACCACGGGAAUGCACGGCUGGCUCCACGGGCCGACGGACUCGCGGAAUUCACCUUCCGAUGACGGGAGCUUCCUCAGCCUGGCCAGGGGGUCUGUGAACACCCACACUCGGCACCACGACUCCCUGAGAUCAGGCACCGACGGGGGUCCCCCUCGCCACUGCUCUGCCACGCCCUGAGGGUCUGGUCAGGUCGAAAAGGAACCACAAAGCUAUCUGCAGGCGAACUGCU